rnacentral:tRNA from 1 species
GGGGGCUUAGCUUAAUUAAAGUAAUUGAUUUGCAUUCAAUAGAUGUAAGGUAAAGUCUUACAGUCCUUA